GUUAGAAAUUACCUUAAAGCAUCUAAGUUUCUUAAAAAUAUCUUAAGAAUUUUUUCAGACAUUUUAUAGACAUUUUGAAUAACUUUAGGGUGAAUUAAGUUUGUCUUAAGAAAAUCUUGAGAAAGUUUCCUGAGUUAAUGUUACCUUAAAACAUCUUAAGAUUUUUUAGAAUAUCUUAAUAAUUUUUUAAGACAUUUUGAAUAUCUUUAAGGUGAAUUAAGUUUGAACAAAGAGUUCUUAAAAUUUUUUUCAGUACACACAAAAUUUGUCUUGUGAUAUUUUCGAAAAUGAUCAGAUCUUAGUUUCCGUUUAAAUCUGUGAGAAGUUCAAUAAUUCUAUAAUUAAAGUAUAUAUUUAAAAGGUUUUCAGCUUUUUUUUUUUUUUUUUUCGUUUUUUCAUGAAACAUACAAAAUAUUAAUUUGAGAUAGAAAAGAAAAUGUUUUAUUUUACUGCUUUUAUGAAACAUCAACUUGUAUCUAGGGAAUUCAAUACACCAAUCAGAACAAUUUUUAUUAAUCAAAAACUCUCACAUUAUUAAAAUUUGAAUGAUUGGAAAUUUUGCCGAGUUGAAUGUAUAUAACCAUUUCACUCUCCCAGAUUCGAAUUUUAAGUUUAUCCGAUAUACAUGAUUAAGGAAAAGAUCGCAUAAUUACAGUAGUUAUUAGUUUUAUUUUUUCAUUAAUUGAUGCAUAAGUUGUGUUAGCAUUCACAUUAACAAAACAAGUUUAAUUUUGCGAAUUUUUAAAAUUUGUGUUCAUUAAUUUCGUUUUAAAUUACAUGUGCUAUAUCUUUACUCAUUAAAGCUGUAUGAAACGUUUUCAUUCACAAAUGUUUUAAGCGUACAGUUUAAUUCAUUUACUGAAAAUCUACAAGUCUUUAAUCGAAGAAAAAGCCAUCUGAAUAAUACUUUUUUGUUCGCUGACUCAGCCACGCUUCCGUUCUCUCUCCCCUCAUCCCCCCGCCACCGACUGAGGAGGUUGUUUACUUUCGAUAACAUGAUAAUGCAGCGUGUGUGAAGAAUUCGCUUAAAUGCUUUGAUGAAAUGCUUGAAUUUGCCGAGCUGAAUGUAUCAGUAGACUCGCAUUUGAUUUACCAGGAGAGGAAAACCACUCAAACCAGCUGCAGUUAGUCUGGUGUCUCGGGGACUCAAACUCAUGAUCACUGAGGCUAUGUUACUUCAGCACUGUGGUCAGUGUGAAUGGAAUGGAAAUGCAUUUGAACUAACUUCAUCAAUUGAAAGGCAAAUCCUCUAUUCCCUGUGCCAUUGUGACACUCCUGGAAACAAAGCAGAUCAUUUAGGAUUUUGCUGUUUACUUCCUAGACUCGCUUUUACUCUCCCCUAUAGAGAAAUCUUCUCCACCAUUGUUUGAGCGAAAGACUAUAUAAAGAAUGUGGAUGCUGCAGGAAGGAUUUGGUCAGGCCUCUUAUGCAAAUGCUUUGCCCAUGUACCUCCCCCGGAAAGUUUUUUAACUAAAGCAUUUCUUCUUCCAAAUACCAACUUUAGAUGUCCGUUGCUAUUGCUCCGAAAUAUUGUGAUUGUGUGUGAAAACUAAAAAAAAGAAGAGAA
rnacentral:lncRNA from 1 species